rnacentral:lncRNA from 1 species
AAUCGUGUAGGUAAAAAAUGGUGAUUAUAGAUCAUUACAUAAAGAAAUACUUGAGACACCAAAAAGCUAUCCCAAAUAUUAAUACUAAAUAAUGUGGCACUUGUCAUAUCAUCAAUUUUCCUACUAAUUAAGUGAUGAUAUAGAUAUCAUAGUAUUUGUACCUAACGAAAAAUGAAUAAAAAGAUAAGAAUGCAUUUGUACCUAAAGAAAAAUUAAUAAAAAUUUAAGAAUAUAUCCUAAAUUUCUUCUUUAAUAGAAAAAAAAUAUACUAUCUUAUUUUUUUAAGUUGUUGAGCAUUGUUACGAAUUCUACAGUAUUCCUCAUGGAAGCCAAUUAAAGCCGUUAAAAUUACCAGAAUUUUGUUUCUCUUUCCCAUACUCAUCUCUCUUCACAAAACUAUUCUUCUAACAUUUGAACCGAAAGAUUGAAUUAAAGAAUAAUAUAUAUGAUUCUUAUUUUGAUAUAUUUAUACUGCAAUUCAUUUCGUUUUGUCAUUGUCAACUUAUAAUUAAAAUUUUGUCAUUGUUAAGUUAUAUACAAAGAUAAAAAGAAGCUAUCUCAACAUAAAGAAAUAAUCACUAGACCAACAAUAUGUCUGACACGACCCACCCCGAGUUUCACCCUGAAACCCAGAGUAAGUCGUGCGGGGACCACCUCCAAGGAAAAUUUACUGAAAAGAUUAAGAAAAUCUCCCUUGCAGAUGGACAACCCUAAUUCGAAAAUUUCAUAUUACACUCUUAAUUUAACGCUUCUAAAUAUCACAUAAUAUACAAAAAUUCUAAAGUAUUCAGAGCUACUAAACACAAGCGGAAGCAAGAAAACACAAGUAGGUUGAACAGGUAACCUACUGAUGAAAACUGGCCGAAAAGCGGGUGACUAUGCCUCGUCUCCUACUAGAUCCAACCCGAACUCUGCAGACUGGGCAAUUUAAAACGAAGGGCCCAGGGGAAAACAUUUAAUAACGUUAGAGUGAGUGGACAAAAAUAAAUUAAUAAUUAAAUAUUAUGUUUCCCAAAAUUAAUUUCUAAGGAAAAAUCGAAUGCCUGCCGCAAGCGAUAAAACCUUUAUCCCAUAAAAUAUCGAGCCUCUCAGACUCUAUAAUAUAUGUAUGUAUUUACACUCGUCCAUACUCCCUAUAUAAAUUCAUGGGUCUAUAUAGGGCUACUACGCCCGCGUCCAACGCUCACGUCACGCCUUAAUGCGGUGCUACACUACGCCAUCAAGGUGGACAGACGGGUGUAUAAAUAUGUGCCCAUACCCCCUAUAUUGAAUUAAACACUCAUAUAGGGCUACUACGCUUACGUCCAACGCUCACGUCACACCAUAAUGCGGCUAUAUGGCUACGCCAUUAAGGUGGACAGACACAUAUGGCUAGCUAGCAUUUU